rnacentral:rRNA from 1 species
UACGGAGAGAGCUAGCGUUGUUCGGAAUUACUGGGCGUAAAGCGCGCGUAGGCGGCUUUGUAAGUUAGAGGUGAAAGCCCGGGGCUCAACCCCGGAAUUGCCUUUAAGACUGCAUCGCUUGAAUCCGGGAGAGGUGAGUGGAAUUCCGAGUGUAGAUGUGAAAUUCGUAGAUAUUCGGAAGAACACCAGUGGCGAAGGCGGCUCACUGGACCGGCAUUGACGCUGAGGUGCGAAAGCGUGGGGAGCAAACAGG